AUGGCCGGUAGAAGCUCACGACUGGAGGAAGAGGAGGAGGAGGAGAAGGAGGAGGAGCAGGAGCAGGACGCGACCAUGAAGGACGCGGAAGCGGAGAAGGAGAACGACGACGCGUGCGAGGCGGAUCCGGCGCCUCCGGCUGCGGGCUUCGCCAUGGUCGACUCCAUGACGGAGUUUGAGUUGGCCCAAUCGGAGGAUGCAGUGGAGCAGCAGGCCAUCCUCGACUGGAGCGACUUCCUCCAGUCGAAGGCGGAGGUGGGGGCCAACUGCCGCUUCCUUUUCCAGGAGGAGGCGGAGCUCGAUGAGGUUUUCGUCCAAGAGGACAACGAUGACGCAGAGAUAGAGGUGCAUGUGGAGGCCAUCCGCCAGGAGGCAGCUCAUCCAACACUGCCAGCACAGAGCUCGUCGAAAUCUCCGACGAGGAGUAGUAUUGGCUAG
rnacentral:rRNA from 1 species